AUUGAACGCUGGCGGCAGGCUUAACACAUGCAAGUCGAGCGGGGGAGGUUGCUUCGGUAACUGACCUAGCCGCGGACGGGUGAGUAACACGUGGGUAACCUGCCUCAUAGAGGGGAAUAGCCUUCCGAAAGGAAGAUUAAUACCGCAUAAGAUUGUAGUUCCGCAUGGGACAGCAAUUAAAGGAGCAAUCCGCUAUGAGAUGGACCCGCGUCGCAUUAGCUAGUUGGCGAGGUAACGGCUCACCAAGGCGACGAUGCGUAGCCGACCUGAGAGGGUGAUCGGCCACAUUGGGACUGAGACACGGCCCAGACUCCUACGGGAGGCAGCAGUGGGGAAUAUUGCACAAUGGGGGAAACCCUGAUGCAGCAACGCCGCGUGAGUGAUGACGGUCUUCGGAUUGUAAAACUCUGUCUUUGGGGACGAUAAUGACGGUACCCAAGGAGGAGGCCACGGCUAACUACGUGCCAGCCGCCGCGGUAACAC
rnacentral:rRNA from 1 species